UUUUAAAUCGAGUUGUCUUUUUAUUAUUGACUUAUAAGAGUUCUUUAUAUAUUUUAGAUACAAGUCCCUUAUCAGAUAUUUCCCCCAUUAAGUGGGUUCUUUUCACUUUCUUGGUAGCAUCCAUUGAAGCACAAACGUUUUCAAUUUUUAAUUUUGAUGAAGUCCAGUUUACUUAUUUUUUCUUUGGUUGCUUAUGCUUUUGAUUAUUGCCAAAUCCAAAGUUAUGAAGAUUACCCCUGUUUUCUUCUGAGAUUUUUAUAGUUUUAGCUCUUACGUUUAGAUCUUUGAUCCAUUUUCAGUUAAUUUGUGUAUGUGGUGUGAGGUAAGUGUCCAACUUCAUUUGCAUGUAGCUACCGAGUUGUCCCAGCACCACUUGAUGAAAAGUCUAUUCUCCUCCCAUUUGAUGGUUUUGGCACCCUUGUUGAAAAUCAAUUGACCAAAGAAGUAUAUGUUUAUUCCUGGACUAUCAACUCUAUUCCAUUGAUAUAUUGUAUUUUUAUACAAGUAAUGCAUGCCUUCUGCAUUUGUUUGUUGGUUGUGCCCUCCCCCGAUGAGAUAUUUUUGUAAACGUGCUAUGCUAAUUUUCUUUUACAGCAACAUGUGGAAGAAGAUUGGCAUGGUGGUGCUUGUGAGGGUGCCUGGCGGGGAGGGAGCGUGGAGACGGAGCGGCCAGCAAACAAAUGUAGAAGCUCCAUCCAUAUUGUAGCAUGUAUCAAGACUUCAUUUCUCCUAUUGGCUGAGGAGUAGUCCGUUGUACGAAGAAGAGGAUGAAGAACAGGACAGGACCCCAAGGAACACAAAAAUGAGAGGAUUGUGCAAGAAGAGGAGAACAAGGCAAUUGUUGCCAUUAAAGCAUUGUAUUUACUUUCACUUAUGAACGUACUGCUUCAUUUGUUUAUCAUAAAACUAUUUUCAAAGCCUUCUGUCUUCAUUCUGGAAAAGACUAUAAGCCAUUUUAUCCUCUCCAUCCAAUGUUGAAAGCAGCCUGGGUACAGUGGAAAGAUCACCAGAAGCCCUGGUUCAGCCACUUUGUUGUGAAACUUUGGGUAAAUCAUAAUUGUGGAACUCUUAGUUUAUUCAGUAGCUAAAAGUAUAUGAGGGUUGUUUGUAGAGAAAAUUAGAGUCAUGUAUAUGAAAAUGAUCUGUAAACUGAAAAGCAUUACAUGAUACUGUUUUGGUCAUCUAAUGCUGCUAUAACAGAAAUACCACAAGUGGAUGGCCUUA